CACGUAGGGAGCAAGCGUUGUCCGGAUUUAUUGGGCGUAAAGAGCUCGUAGGCGGUUGCGUAAGUCGGAUGUGAAAACUCAGAGGCUCAACCCUGAGACGCCAUCCGAUACUGCGCUGACUAGAGUCCGGUAGGGGAGCAUGGAAUUCCUGGUGUAGCGGUGGAAUGCGCAGAUAUCAGGAGGAACACCAAUGGCGAAGGCAGUGCUCUGGGCCGGUACUGACGCUGAGGAGCGAAAGCAUGGGGAGCGAACAGGAUUAGAUACCCUGGUAGUCCAUGCCGUAAACGUUGGGCACUAGGUGUGGGACCUUCUAACGGGUUCCGUGCCGUAGCUAACGCAUUAAGUGCCCCGCCUGGGGAGUACGGCCGCAAGGCUAAAACUCAAAGGAAUUGACGGGGGCCCGCACAAGCGGCGGAGCAUGUUGCUUAAUUCGAGGCAACGCGAAGAACCUUACCUGGGUUUGACAUGUACCGAAA
rnacentral:rRNA from 1 species